UUAAGCGACUAAGCGUACACGGUGGAUGCCCUGGCAGUCAGAGGCGAUGAAGGACGUGCUAAUCUGCGAUAAGCGUCGGUGAGGUGAUAUGAACCGUUAUAACCGGCGAUUUCCGAAUGGGGAAACCCAGUGUGUUUCGACACACUAUCAUUAACUGAAUCCAUAGGUUAAUGAGGCGAACCGGGGGAACUGAAACAUCUAAGUACCCCGAGGAAAAGAAAUCAACCGAGAUUUCGUUAGUAGCGGCGAGCGAACGCGAAGGAGCCUGUUAGUGAUAAUGGCAGAGACAGAGGAACAAGCUGGGAAGCUUGGCGAUACAGGGUGAUAGCCCCGUACUCGAAGUCCAGGUCAUGGUACUAAGCUAACGAUAAGUAGGGCGGGACACGUGACAUCCUGUCUGAAGAUGGGGGGACCAUCCUCCAAGGCUAAAUACUCCUGACUGACCGAUAGUGAACCAGUACCGUGAGGGAAAGGCGAAAAGAACCCCGGCGAGGGGAGUGAAAAAGAACCUGAAACCGUGUACGUACAAGCAGUGGGAGCCUCUUAAUGGGGUGACUGCGUACCUUUUGUAUAAUGGGUCAGCGACUUAUAUUCUGUAGCAAGGUUAACCGAAUAGGGGAGCCGAAGGGAAACCGAGUCUUAACUGGGCGUUAAGUUGCAGGGUAUAGACCCGAAACCCGGUGAUCUAGCCAUGGGCAGGUUGAAGGUUGGGUAACACUAACUGGAGGACCGAACCGACUAAUGUUGAAAAAUUAGCGGAUGACUUGUGGCUGGGGGUGAAAGGCCAAUCAAACCGGGAGAUAGCUGGUUCUCCCCGAAAUCUAUUUAGGUAGAGCCUUGAGCGGACACCUUCGGGGGUAGAGCACUGUUUCGGCUAGGGGUCCAUCCCGGAUUACCAACCCGAUGCAAACUACGAAUACCGAAGAGUGAUACUCAGGAGACACACGGCGGGUGCUAACGUCCGUCGUGGAGAGGGAAACAACCCAGACCGCCAGCUAAGGUCCCAAAGUCUAUAUUAAGUGGGAAACGAAGUGGGAAGGCUUAGACAGCUAGGAUGUUGGCUUAGAAGCAGCCAUCAUUUAAAGAAAGCGUAAUAGCUCACUAGUCGAGUCGGCCUGCGCGGAAGAUGUAACGGGGCUCAAAUAUAGCACCGAAGCUGCGGCAUCAGUAGCAAUACUGUUGGGUAGGGGAGCGUUCUGUAAGCGGAUGAAGAUGGCUCGAGAGGGCUGUUGGACGUAUCAGAAGUGCGAAUGCUGACAUAAGUAACGAUAAAACGGGUGAAAAACCCGUUCGCCGGAAGACCAAGGGUUCCUGUCCAACGUUAAUCGGGGCAGGGUGAGUCGGCCCCUAAGGCGAGGCUGAAAAGCGUAGUCGAUGGGAAACGGGUUAAUAUUCCCGUACUUGGAUAAACUGCGAUGUGGGGACGGAGCAGGUUAGGUUAUCGCACUGUUGGAUAUGUGCGUUUAAGUUGGUAGGUGUGAAGUUUAGGCAAAUCCGGACUUCUUUAACACCGAGAGAUGAUGACGAGGCUCUACGGAGCUGAAGUAACCGAUACCACACUUCCAGGAAAAGCCACUAAGCUUCAGGUUUAUCUAAACCGUACUGAAAACCGACACAGGUGGUCAGGUAGAGAAUACUCAGGCGCUUGAGAGAACUCGGGUGAAGGAACUAGGCAAAAUAGCACCGUAACUUCGGGAGAAGGUGCGCCGGCGUAGAUUGUAGUCCCUAGCGGGCGAAGGUUGAACCGGUCGAAGAUACCAGCUGGCUGCAACUGUUUAUUAAAAACACAGCACUCUGCAAACACGAAAGUGGACGUAUAGGGUGUGAUGCCUGCCCGGUGCUGGAAGGUUAAUUGAUGGUGUAAUCGAAAGAGAAGCUCCUGAUCGAAGCCCCAGUAAACGGCGGCCGUAACUAUAACGGUCCUAAGGUAGCGAAAUUCCUUGUCGGGUAAGUUCCGAC
rnacentral:rRNA from 1 species